GGGGAUUUAGCUCAGUGGUAGAGCACUUGUCUAGGAAGCACAAGGUCCUGGGUUUGAUCCCCAGCUCCG
rnacentral:tRNA from 1 species